UACGUAGGCAGCAAGCGUUGUUCGGAGUUACUGGGCGUAAAGCGUGCGCAGGCGGUUUUGUAAGUUUUGUCGUGAAAUCCCCGGGCUCAACCUGGGAAUGGCGAUGAAGACUGCAAGGCUAGGAAUCUGGCAGAGGGGUGAGAAUUCCACGUGUAGCAGUGAAAUGCGUAGAGAUGUGGAGGAACACCGAUGGCGAAGGCAGGUCUCUGGGCCACUA
rnacentral:rRNA from 1 species